GCAUAUCAAUAAGCGGAGGAAAAGAAACCAACAGGGAUUGCCCCAGUAACGGCGAGUGAAGCGGCAACAGCUCAAAUUUGAAAUCUGGCCCCCAGGGUCCGAGUUGUAAUUUGUAGAGGAUGCUUUUGGCGCGGCGCCUUCCGAGUUCCCUGGAACGGGACGCCAUAGAGGGUGAGAGCCCCGUCUGGUUGGAUGCCUAGCCUCUGUAAAGCUCCUUCGACGAGUCGAGUAGUUUGGGAAUGCUGCUCUAAAUGGGAGGUAUAUGUCUUCUAAAGCUAAAUACCGGCCAGAGACCGAUAGCGCACAAGUAGAGUGAUCGAAAGAUGAAAAGCACUUUGAAAAGAGGGUUAAAUAGUACGUGAAAUUGUUGAAAGGGAAGCACUUGUGACCAGACUUGGGCCCGGUUAAUCAUCCAGCGUUCUCGCUGGUGCACUUUGCCGGCCCAGGCCAGCAUCAGUUCGCCGUGGGGGAUAAAGGCUUCGGGAAUGUGGCUCCCUCGGGAGUGUUAUAGCCCGUUGUGUAAUACCCUGUGGCGGACUGAGGUUCGCGCUCCGCAAGGAUGCUGGCGUAAUGGUCAUCAGUGACCCGUCUUGAAACACGGACCAAGGAGUCGUCUUCGUAUGCGAGUGUUCGGGUGUCAAACCCCUACGCGUAAUGAAAGUGAACGCAGGUGAGAGCUUCGGCGCAUCAUCGACCGAUCCUGAUGUUCUCGGAUGGAUUUGAGUAAGAGCAUACGGGGCCGGACCCGAAAGAAGGUGAACUAUGCCUGUAUAGGGUGAAGCCAGAGGAAACUCUGGUGGAGGCUCGCAGCGGUUCUGACGUGCAAAUCGAUCGUCAAAUAUGGGCAUGGGGGGCGAAAGACUAAUCGAACCUUCUAGUAGCUGGGUUUCCGCCGA
rnacentral:rRNA from 1 species